AGCCGUGUUUCGAGUUACUCCGGAACACAGUGUUUAUUCUGUGUUUAGUCACGCCGCGUCAAAAAUGUUCCACAGGGUUACUUCCGGUUUAUCGUUGUUUACCAACAGUCGACACUUCGUGUAUUAGGCCUAGGCUUAAUUUUGUCGAUCAUCAUGAAAUUGAAAUACAAAUUUAAUAGUUUGGGGUGUAUGCGGUACAUAUUUGUUUAUGAGCGUUUGAUAAGCUACUAUUGAUCUACGAAAUACAACGAAAGACUUCGUCAAGAACAGAAGACGAUGCAUGUCGUGUAACUCACACAAGGCCCAGCUGUCUAGUAACCGGAGGGGUAAAGGAAAAGAACGUAUUAGACUCACUGAAACCUGUCAAACAGGUAUAUGGGAACAGGAUCAUUUUCCAUGCCUUUCACUUGAGGUCUUCAGUUUCAUCAUUAAUCAUCUGAAUGUCGGUAUGCCAAACUCUCAUGAUGUCAUGCCAUUACUGGAUAUUCCUUAACACUGGUUUAUUUAAGCCACACUACCUAUAACAUUGCCAAAAUAUUAGACUGAAAAUUUUCAAAUACACAAGAUUUGAAGCAGCAAAAGAAAAGAAUUACAUAUGUAUAACACACAAAAAAGAAGAAAUUAAUUCUCACCUGGCUGAUAUGAACUUUUUACUCCUUUUUAGCUCCCUUUCACUGCAUACCAGCCAAUAACUAGCAGUCAUUAUAUGCAGAUCAGCCAUUGUUAUCAACCUGUGUAUAUAUAUGUUGAAUGAAAUAUGAAUGAAAA